CGCCAGACUCCUACGGGAGGCAGCAGUGGGGAAUAUUGCACAAUGGGCGAAAGCCUGAUGCAGCGACGCCGCGUGAGUGAAGAAGUAUUUCGGUAUGUAAAGCUCUAUCAGCAGGGAAGAAGUUGACGGUACCUGAGUAAGAAGCCCCGGCUAACUACGUGCCAGCAGCCGCGGUAAUACGUAGGGGGCAAGCGUUAUCCGGAUUUACUGGGUGUAAAGGGAGCGUAGACGGCAGUGCAAGUCUGAAGUGAAAGCCCCGGGCUUAACCCGGGAACUGCUUUGGAAACUGUACGGCUGGAGUGCUGGAGAGGUAAGCGGAAUUCCUAGUGUAGCGGUGAAAUGCGUAGAUAUUAGGAGGAACACCAGUGGCGAAGGCGGCUUACUGGACAGUAACUGACGUUGAGGCUCGAAAGCGUGGGGAGCAAACAGGAUUAGAUACCCGAGUA
rnacentral:rRNA from 1 species